rnacentral:rRNA from 1 species
UGGGGAAUAUUGGUCAAUGGACGAGAGUCUGAACCAGCCAAGUAGCGUGAAGGAUGACUGCCCUAUGGGUUGUAAACUUCUUUUAUAUGGGAAUAAAACAGGGUAUGCAUACCCUCUUGUAUGUACCAUAUGAAUAAGGAUCGGCUAACUCCGUGCCAGCAGCCGCGGUAAUACGGAGGAUCCGAGCGUUAUCCGGAUUUAUUGGGUUUAAAGGGAGCGUAGGUGGAUUGUUAAGUCAGUUGUGAAAGUUUGCGGCUCAACCGUAAAAUUGCAGUUGAAACUGGCAGUCUUGAGUACAGUAGAGGUGGGCGGAAUUCGUGGUGUAGCGGUGAAAUGCUUAGAUAUCACGAAGAACUCCGAUUGCGAAGGCAGCUCACUGGACUGCAACUGACGCUCAUGCACGAAAGCGUGGGUAUCGAACAGG